rnacentral:rRNA from 1 species
AACGAACGCUGGCGGCGUGCCUAACACAUGCAAGUCGAGCGAGAAAGCCUUCGGGUGAGUAAAGCGGCGGACGGGUGAGUAACGCGUGGGUAAUCUGCCCUUUGAUGGGGGAUAACACUCCGAAAGGAGUGCUAAUACCGCAUAAGACCACAGCACUUUCGGGUGCAGGGGUAAAAGAUGUCUGGUUUCGGCCAGAUGUCGUCGAAGGAUGAGCUCGCGUCCCAUUAGCUAGUUGGCAGGGUAAUGGCCUACCAAGGCUCCGAUGGGUAGCUGGUCUGAGAGGAUGAUCAGCCACACUGGGACUGAGACACGGCCCAG